UACGUAGGUGACAAGCGUUGUCCGGAUUUACUGGGCGUAAAGAGCGCGCAGGCGGUCGAUCAAGUCGAGUGUGAAAGCCCCCGGCUCAACUGGGGAGGGUCAUUCGAUACUGAUCGACUCGAAGGCAGGAGAGGGUAGUGGAAUUCCCGGUGUAGUGGUGAAAUGCGUAGAUAUCGGGAGGAACACCAAUGGCGAAGGCGACUACCUGGCCUGUUCUUGACGCUGAGGCGCGAAAGCUAGGGGAGCAAACGGGG
rnacentral:rRNA from 1 species